CUGGUUUUCCAGGCAAAUCCGGAAAAUCAAGGCUGAGGCGUGAUGACGAGGCACUACGGUGCUGAAGCAACAAAUGCCCUGCUUCCAGGAAAAGCCUCUAAGCAUCAGGUAACAUCAAAUCGUACCCCAAACCGACACAGGUGGUCAGGUAGAGAAUACCAAGGCGCUUGAGAGAACUCGGGUGAAGGAACUAGGCAAAAUGGUGCCGUAACUUCGGGAGAAGGCACGCUGACACGUAGGUGAAGUGAUUUACUCAUGGAGCUGAAGUCAGUCGAAGAUACCAGCUGGCUGCAACUGUUUAUUAAAAACACAGCACUGUGCAAACACGAAAGUGGACGUAUACGGUGUGACGCCUGCCCGGUGCCGGAAGGUUAAUUGAUGGGGUCAGCGCAAGCGAAGCUCCUGAUCGAAGCCCCGGUAAACGGCGGCCGUAACUAUAACGGUCCUAAGGUAGCGAAAUUCCUUGUCGGGUAAGUUCCGACCUGCACGAAUGGCGUAAUGAUGGCCAGGCUGUCUCCACCCGAGACUCAGUGAAAUUGAACUCGCUGUGAAGAUGCAGUGUACCCGCGGCAAGACGGAAAGACCCCGUGAACCUUUACUAUAGCUUGACACUGAACAUUGAGCCUUGAUGUGUAGGAUAGGUGGGAGGCUUUGAAGUGUGGACGCCAGUCUGCAUGGAGCCGACCUUGAAAUACCACCCUUUAAUGUUUGAUGUUCUAACGUGGACCCGUUACCCGGGUUGCGGACAGUGUCUGGUGGGUAGUUUGACUGGGGCGGUCUCCUCCUAAAGAGUAACGGAGGAGCACGAAGGUUGGCUAAUCCUGGUCGGACAUCAGGAGGUUAGUGCAAUGGCAUAAGCCAGCUUGACUGCGAGCGUGACGGCGCGAGCAGGUGCGAAAGCAGGUCAUAGUGAUCCGGUGGUUCUGAAUGGAAGGGCCAUCGCUCAACGGAUAAAAGGUACUCCGGGGAUAACAGGCUGAUACCGCCCAAGAGUUCAUAUCGACGGCGGUGUUUGGCACCUCGAUGUCGGCUCAUCACAUCCUGGGGCUGAAGUAGGUCCCAAGGGUAUGGCUGUUCGCCAUUUAAAGUGGUACGCGAGCUGGGUUUAGAACGUCGUGAGACAGUUCGGUCCCUAUCUGCCGUGGGCGCUGGAGAACUGAGGGGGGCUGCUCCUAGUACGAGAGGACCGGAGUGGACGCAUCACUGGUGUUCGGGUUGUCAUGCCAAUGGCACUGCCCGGUAGCUAAAUGCGGAAGAGAUAAGUGCUGAAAGCAUCUAAGCACGAAACUUGCCCCGAGAUGAGUUCUCCCUGAGACUUAAAGUCUCCUGAAGGAACGUUGAAGACGACGACGUUGAUAGGCCGGGUGUGUAAGCGCAGCGAUG
rnacentral:rRNA from 1 species